UACGUAGGGGGCUAGCGUUGUCCGGAAUCAUUGGGCGUAAGAGCGUGUAGGCGGCCCGGUAAGUCCGCUGUGAAAGUCGGGGGCUCAACCCUCGAAUGCCGGUGGAUACUGUCGGGCUAGAGUGCGGAAGAGGCGAGUGGAAUCCUGGGUGUAGCGGUGAAUGACGCAGAGUAUCAGGAGGAACACCGAUUGCGAAGGCAGCUCGCUGGACGUGACUGACGCUGAGACGCGAAGCGUG
rnacentral:rRNA from 1 species